GAAUCUCACUGAGCACGUCAAGCCCUUGGUCGGGGUGCUCUGGUCACUGCGGGUGUCCUCGGAGCUGCCUCCUUCUGGCUGUGCUGGGGUUUGAUUCAGGAGUCAUGGUGACCCCCAGCAGGAACAAGUAGGAUCACAGGAAGAUCCCCACCAAGGAUCACAGAUGACCCUGUAAUGCAUGAAGAGUCUGAAUCUUUCCCAUCCUGAUCUCUUAAGCAAAUGGCAGACUAACAAAGACCAAGGCCUGAGGUCUUGUCUGAUUCUUAGAGCCUGUGCAAGUCUCUGUUUGGGGAGGUUAAUCUGAAGGAAUGGGUGAUCUUGCACAAGCACCUUCGGGAUUCCGGGUUUGAAUUUCCUUCCUUGGGCAAUGGGUUGAUCUGAUGGCCUUUCUCACAUACCUAAGGAAAAGAUGUAGGGGGAAAUGCUUUGAAGCCUGGGACAACGUUAUCAUCCUAAAACACAGCCCCAGAGAUCACCAAAUAGAUUCUGAAAACAUCUGA